rnacentral:rRNA from 1 species
UAACAAAAACAUGUCUGUGUGUGUUAGUUACAAAGUCUAGCCUGCCCACUGAUUUAUUUAAAGGGCCGCGGUAAUUUGACCGUGCGAAGGUAGCAUAGUCAGUAGUCUUUUAAUUGAAGGCUUGAAUGAAAGGUUGGACGAGGGAUAAGCUGUCUCCUGUUAUGGGGCUUGAAUUUAACUUUUAAGUGAAAAGGCUUAAAUUAUCUAAAGGGACGAUAAGACCCUAUAAAACUUGAUACGAGCUUAGCUUAAUUUGUGAAUUGUGUGAAAAGUAGUUCUGCUUGGCUUGUAUUUCAUUGGGGAGAUGUAGAUAUAAUCUGUAACUGUCUAUGAAAUUUAAUAAUUAUAAUUAGUAGUUGAUCCUUCUUUGUGGAUUAAAAGAAUAAGUUACUUUAGGGAUAACAGCGUGAUUUUCUUUGAGAGUUCUUAUCGACAAGAGUAGUUGCGACCUCGAUGUUGAAUUAAAAUUUCAGCUAGGUGUAGCCGUUUAGCUGGUAGGUCUGUUCGACCUUUAAAAUUUUACGUGAUCUGAGUUCAGACCGGACGC